rnacentral:misc_RNA from 1 species
GAUGAAGAACGUAGCGAAAUGCGAUACUUGGUGUGAAUUGCAGAAUUCCAGUGAGUCAUCGAAUCUUUGAACGCACAUUGCGCCCUUUGGUAUUCCGAAGGGCAUGCCUGUUCGAGCGUCAUUAUCACCCCUCAAGCCCUCGGCUUGGUGUUGGACGGUUUGGUGGAGGCCCCCUCGGGGGUUCCUGCCCCUCCCAAAGACAAUGACGGCGGCCUCGUUGGACCCCCGGUACACUGAGUUCUUCACGGGACACGUAUCGGACACAUGGGUUUACGGGACACGGUCUGCCUCCCCUCAGGGAGAAUCUUUCUAAGGUUGACCUCGGAUCAGGUAGGGAUACCCGCUGAACUUAAGCAUAUCAAUAAGCGGAGGA